rnacentral:rRNA from 1 species
AGAGUUUGAUCCUGGCUCAGGACGAACGCUGGCGGCGCGCCUAACACAUGCAAGUCGAACGAGCGAGAGAGAGCUUGCUUUCUCGAGCGAGUGGCGAACGGGUGAGUAACGCGUGAGGAACCUGCCUCAAAGAGGGGGACAACAGUUGGAAACGACUGCUAAUACCGCAUAAGCCCACGGUGCCGCAUGGCACAGAGGGAAAAGGAGCAAUCCGCUUUGAGAUGGCCUCGCGUCCGAUUAGCUAGUUGGUGAGGUAAUGGCCCACCAAGGCGACGAUCGGUAACCGGACUGAGAGGUUGAACGGCCACAUUGGGACUGAGACACGGCCCAGACUCCUACGGGAGGCAGCAGUGGGGAAUAUUGCACAAUGGGGGAAACCCUGAUGCAGCGACGCCGCGUGGAGGAAGAAGGUCUUCGGAUUGUAAACUCCUGUUGUUGAGGAAGAUAAUGACGGUACUCAACAAGGAAGUGACGGCUAACUACGUGCCAGCAGCCGCGGUAAAACGUAGGUCACAAGCGUUGUCCGGAAUUACUGGGUGUAAAGGGAGCGCAGGCGGGAAGACAAGUUGGAAGUGAAAUCCAUAGGCUCAACCCAUGAACUGCUUUCAAAACUGUUUUUCUUGAGUAGUGCAGAGGUAGGCGGAAUUCCCGGUGUAGCGGUGGAAUGCGUAGAUAUCGGGAGGAACACCGGUGGCGAAGGCGGCCCUCUGGGCCGAGACCGACGCUGAGGCGCGAAAGCUGGGGGAGCGAACAGGAUUAGAUACCCUGGUAGUCCCAGCCGUAAACGAUGGACGCUAGGUGUGGGGGGACGAUCCCCCCGUGCCGCAGCCAACGCAUUAAGCGUCCCGCCUGGGGAGUACGGCCGCAAGGCUAAAACUCAAAGGAUUGACGGGGGCCCGCACAAGCAGCGGAGCAUGUGGCUUAAUUCGAAGCAACGCGAAGAACCUUACCAGGGCUUGACAUAUGGGUGAAGCGGGGGAGACCCCGUGGCCGAGAGGAGCCCAUACAGGUGGUGCAUGGCUGUCGUCAGCUCGUGUCGUGAGAUGUUGGGUUAAGUCCCGCAACGAGCGCAACCCCCGCCGCGUGUUGCCAUCGGGUGAUGCCGGGAACCCACGCGGGACCGCCGCCGUCAAGGCGGAGGAGGGCGGGGACGACGUCAAGUCAUCAUGCCCCUUAUGCCCUGGGCUGCACACGUGCUACAAUGGCCGGUACAGAGGGAUGCCACCCCGCGAGGGGGAGCGGAUCCCGGAAAGCCGGCCCCAGUUCGGAUUGGGGGCUGCAACCCGCCCCCAUGAAGUCGGAGUUGCUAGUAAUCGCGGAUCAGCAUGCCGCGGUGAAUGCGUUCCCGGGCCUUGCACACACCGCCCGUCA